rnacentral:rRNA from 1 species
ACCAAGCAGCUAGCCCACCCAAUCAAAACCAACAAACAAGUAUUAAUACCCCCAAAAACACCACCUACCAACUUAAACAAACCAUUUCUCCCCCCUAGUAUGGGCGACAGAAAAGGAUCCUAGGAGCGAUAGAGAAAGUACCGCAAGGGAACGCUGAAAGAGAAAUGAAAAAACCCAGUAAAGUCUAAGAAAGCAGAGAUUUAUGCUCGUACCUUUUGCAUCAUGAUUUAGCUAGUAAACUCAAGCAAAGAGAACUUUAGUUUGACCCCCCGAAACUAAGUGAGCUACUCCAAGACAGCCUAAUACAGGGCAAACCCGUCUCUGUGGCAAAAGAGUGGGAAGAGCUUUGAGUAGCGGUGACAGACCUAUCGAACUUAGUUAUAGCUGGUUGCCUGAGAAAUGGAUAGAAGUUCAGCCUCCCGGCUUCUUUACUCACACUGUAUUAACCCACACAGACACCAUAAGAAACCGUGAGAGUUAGUCAAAGGAGGUACAGCUCCUUUGAAUUAAGGCACAACUUUUUCAGGAGGGUAAAG